rnacentral:rRNA from 1 species
UACGAAGGGUGCAAGCGUUAAUCGGAAUUACUGGGCGUAAAGCGCGCGUAGGUGGUUCGUUAAGUUGAAUGUGAAAGCCCCGGGCUCAACCUGGGAACUGCAUCCAAAACUGGCGAGCUAGAGUAUGGCAGAGGGUGGUGGAAUUUCCUGUGUAGCGGUGAAAGGCGUAGAUAUAGGAAGGAACACCAGUGGCGAAGGCGACCACCUGGGCUAAUACUGACACUGAGUUGCUACAGCGUGGGUAGCCAACCGGAUUAGAUCCC